rnacentral:rRNA from 1 species
ACGGGAGGCAGCAGUGGGGAAUAUUGGGCAAUGGGCGAAAGCCUGACCCAGCGACGCCGCGUGAAGGAAGAAGGUCCUCGGAUUGUAAACUUCUUUUAUAUGGGACGAAGACAAUGACGGUACCAUAUGAAUAAGCCACGGCUAACUACGUGCCAGCAGCCGCGGUAAUACGUAGGUGGCGAGCGUUAUCCGGAUUUACUGGGUGUAAAGGGUGUGUAGGCGGGACUGCAAGUCAGAUGUGAAAACUAUGGGCUUAACCCAUGAACUGCAUUUGAAACUGUAUCUCUUGAGUGUCGGAGAGGUAGAUGGAAUUCCUAGUGUAGCGGUGAAAUGCGUAGAUAUUAGGAGGAACACCAGUGGCGAAGGCGAUCUACUGGACGAUAACUGACGCUGAGGCGCGAAAGCGUGGGGAGCAAACAGGAUUAGAUACCCUGGUA